GCGUCAUGGGCUUCAAACUGUCGUGAUUAGUUAUAUUUCCGGCCCGAGAGAACAGAGGUGUCUCCUCUAACCCUAAUCAACUUCGGGCAAAAGAACGAAGGUCGUAUCUCCGCAUCCUUCGACGGCGACUUGAUGUCGUUUCUGCUUUCUCUUACCUUCUGAAACGGUUUAAGUAAAGAGUUUGUGUUUAAUCUCAUUGACUACGUCGUCUUCAAUGCUCUGUUUCGAUCUGAAAGUCGGUGAUUUCAGUAUAAAUAUGUGCUGCGAGAAUGAGACGGCCCAGUUUGUUUGAGGGAGUUGAUCCCGCUUUAGAGGAAUUAAUCAUUAAUCAGGAAUUGCAAUUGCCAGUGUCAAGAACCAACGAAGAUUUUUAAUGAUGUUAAAUAGUUUUACGUAAGGAGCUGCAUAUUCUUGGAAAAAUAGGGAGAUAGAAUUUUGUACAACGAUUAUCAUCACCAAACUGCUUCUGUUGAGUUUCACAUGUGCAGCCAUGGACUAUGGGCAGUGGUUGUUUCAUAACUAACAAAAAAGGAUGUUCCUCCAUUUUAACUACUGGGACGAACUUCUUGAUAUGCAAGACGUUAUGGGGACAGACCUGAAAUGGGCCGCAACUCUUGUGGCUCGGCAUCUGCUUGCGGCUGCAGACCGUUACGCUCUCCAGCGGCUUAGAACAAUCUGCGAGUCACAACUCUGUGAAGGGAUCAGCAUCAACACUGUUGCAACCAACUAUGCUCUAGCAGAGCAGCAUCAUUGUUUCCAGCUGAAAUCUGCUUACCUCAAAUUCAUAUCUUUGCCAGAAAACCUAAAAGCUGUGAUGGAAACGGAUGGGUUUGAUUAUCUAAAGGAAGGCUGCCCUUGCUUACUAAGUGAGCUGUUGGAGUAUGUGGUUAGGCUGAGUGAGCAUUCUUUAGCAUCUUUAGGGCAUGGGAAGGAGUUAUAUGUUGAUGGCUGUGACGUGAUGGGAGACGAGUGAAGCAAAGUAAACUAACUCUUGAGGGAGAGAGAGUGACUAAUGUUGGAGAACAUUUGGUGAAACAGAAUUGUAGAAGAGUCGUGAUUUGUGUAUUCGUCAUUUGUAAAAGGAUUAGUGAUUGUGAUCUGUGUUGUCCAGUAAGUAGUGUGUAAAAUGUUUUUUUUGUAUUUUUUGUUUGGGCCCCAAAAGAUUCUACGACCAAAAUUACUUCUCAAGAAAAAUGUUUCAUACGGCUAA